CUGAGAGAAACUGAGCUCUGGAAUGUUAGGUAACUCUCUCAAGGCCAUGAUAGUGGCGAGAGGCAGAGCCAGACUACAAUCUCCGCGUCCCGGCCGAGGCUUAGAGUAUUAGCCGUUGUUCCAGCAGCAUUUCCUCGAUGACAGGAGGGAAAUGCUAGAGCUUCUUUUUAGUUCUGGGAUCUGAUCCUUCUUGGGUCUGAACAUCUUUCACAACGCCAGCCAUCGGCUUAUAGAGGAGAUUGCUGAUUGUCUCCAAAAUCCAUUCUCUAAUUCUUCAGUAAUAAAAUGUCAAAUGUUACCAAGGCCCAUGGUUGCUCUGCCUCAUUCCCCAGUAUACCUGACAGUGAACUCAUGUCUGAGGACUGGUCAGCAGGAUGUAAGGGAGAGUGGUGAGCACUUCUCUUUCUUUUCUUUUUUCUUUUUUUUUCUUUUUGAGACAGAGUCUCGCUUUGUUGCUGGGGACUGGGGUGCAGUGGUGCCAUCUCAGCUCACUGCAACCUCCGUCUUCCAGGUUCAAGUGAUUCUCCUGCCUCAGCCUCCUGAGUAGCUGGGACUGCAGGUAUGUGUUACCAUGCCUGGCUAAUUUUUGUAUUUUUAGUACAGAUGGGGUUUCACUGUGUUGUCCAGGCUGGUCUCGAACUCCUGACCUCUGGUGAUCCUCUCACUUUGGCCUCCGAAAGUGCUGAGAUUACAGGCAUGUGCCACCGCACCUGGCCAGUGAGCACUUUAAAGAACUAGAAUGUACCCUUCUCUGUUCCUUUCCUCCUGACCAGUGACUGAAACGCUGAACCAAGCUUGGAGCUGGAGCAGCCAUUUUGGGCCACGAGGUAGAAGCCAUGUGUUGAAGAGAAUGGAACAAGAUGGAAGAAACCUGGUGAUCAGGGAGCCGCCAUAACAGUCUUGGGUUGUCUCUGUUUACAUGAGAGAUGAGGAAACUGAGGCUCAGAGAGGUUAAAUAUCUUCCUCAAGAAUUUUCGCCAGAGCUGGGAUUUGAACCAAGGUCUGCUUGACUUAGAAGGCAGUGGUCCUUGCUUUCUCCCGAGGAGAAGGGAGCAGAGAUACCUAAAGAUGCCUGACUCCCAAUCCCAUGGGAACAUGCCCCCUGCGGGCUCACUUCCUCUCCUCUUUGUCUUCAAUUUCUAAGAAUGUCUUCUUUUCACUAAAACAAAACACUCCAGAAUGCAUUCUGCAUGAAUAAAGACUGCCAACUCCAUGGCAGAAAUAACAUACCUUUUGGGAAUGUUUAUCACUUCUAAAAUGAUGAUAAAGAAAUUCAACAGUUUGUAUUUCUGGACGAACUAGGGGAGAAGAGGAAAUAAAGUAUCUACAGAGUAUCACAACACACCUACAGGAAGCUGAGCAAAGUAGACUAAUCACACUGGGCCCGGAGGACGGCUGGUAACAGAAACCUCAACGUUUAUCUGAAGUGACUGCUCAUCCCCGGGCACCACGGUGACAGGUGUGAUAGAAAGAUAAAACCCUAGACUCUGCUGCUCACCUGCCGUUGGGCCUUGGUCAAGCCACUUCUCUCUGAGCUUCAACUGCCCCAUCUGUAAGAGGAUAACAAUUCCGGCCUCAGGGGGUCAUCAUAGCAACAAAUGAGGAACCUGUAAAUUAGUGCGAAAACACCCCACUUACUACUACUGUUUUUAAAUGAUUGUGAGAGUAAAAAGGGCCUUCGUGUUCAGAACCCAAUCAGCUUAGAGUGAAUUGUAGCACUUGGCAAAUACUGCCUUUUCUGCUUGGAAACUUCACUUAAAAAGAAAAAAAAAAUGAGGUCAAAGAGCGAUUCCUAAAGCAAAAGAAAAUUGCUAAACUUUAGACUAUUCCUGACCCCAAAGUCCUCCUUCAGACCAUGUUUCCCCUUUUUCACUCAUAUCUAGCCCAACAUGCAUAAAUCCUUGCUUCUACCAGAGGGCCACACAGAGGAAUGGACAGACAGGAAGAGUCUUUGCCCAAUUAGUUUCACUUCCUCCCUGGCACCCCAUGGUCACAGCCCUGGAGAAUUGUUUUCUGCGGCGCUGAGGGCUACAUUUUCGUUUUAACCAGCGCAAGGUAGGCAAGAGACUUAAGUCAGAGAGCUUGAUGAUGUAAUGAAUUUGCCAGCUGCCAACGACACUAGGACCUCAUCACAUUUCUUUGUUUUCCUUUCUAACCCCAAAUCUAGCAGGCAUCCCUGUUCUCAUUAACAAAGCCUCCUAUUAGCACCAUUGCUCCCUAACUACCAUCGGACCUCACAGGGAGAAGUUCUGUAUCGAGAACAGUAGAGCAAAAAGACAGGAGGAAAGCAAGUCCCCAACAUCAUGCAGCCCACAUACUAGCUCUGGAUGGCUUACGUACGAUGAAAUCUCCAAGAUGCCUUCCAAAAACCAGAUGACCCUGUCCUUUCUGGAACUACCGCCGUCCCUUGUAACUCUGUAAGCUUCAUUUCCAACCUCAUCCUGCUCUAACUCGAGCACAAACAUAAGUCUGUAGAACCACAGUGGCCUUGGGGGCAUCAUUCUCUUUGCCUUGUCAACAUUUCUAUUUUAUAUCCCUCCCUGCUCCUGUCUAGAGGUUGGUACUCAGUCUCCUGAGACUCAUCUUAUAGAUAGAGCUUGAUGGACCACGGGGAGAGGGCAUCACUCCUGCUACAGUCUGAAUGCACACACCUGGGGCCCAGCUGCCCAACCUUCCACCGCUGAAGUUCAAACAGUUGCAUCUUAGACAACUCCUCCACUUCUAAUCAGCCCAGCAUAGAGGGAGUUUGGAGGUGUCAGACACCCAUCAAUGGCUGAGAGAGAAAGAAAUAUAGUGAAAGACCUGUUAGCAGUUCUGUUGUGCCCAACAGAACUCUCAUUUGUCUUAUGUCUAAAAAGCUGGCCAUUGACUUUCAACAGGAUUUCACUGAUGCUAUUAGAAAAUAUUUUACCACUAAAUGAAAAUAAAGAUAAACUGCCUUUCUGAAGAUGCAAAAGGUAAGAGAUAAUACAUAAAAAUGCAAGUUGAUCAAAUUUCACUUGAUGUUUGAUGACCCUCAGUGUCCCAGAACAUUGCUUUGGGAAUUAUUUUCUCCUUUGAUCUUGCAGAACAGUGUGAAUGGACAUAGAGGCCAUUUGUAUAAAAGAGGAACCUAAGGACGUAGGGGAAAACAAAAGAAUCUGUCAGGGAUGGGAAAAGCACACCCAUUUAAAUAUGCAGAAACCUUAAUGCCAGUGUCUGGCUAGCUAUUAAGCAGUAAUUCCUUCUCUAUCCCUUAUCAUAUCUACCAGUUACUCUGCAAGAUUCUUCAGUGUAAAGAGCACUGUAAAAUGUAUUUUUCAGAUUUAUCUCGUCUUUUUGCCAGAUCAGCCCACCCCAUGCAUAUCUGCCAGCUGCCUCUUACACAAUCCCUCAGAGCCCACGGAGCUGCACUGUGGGCCCUCAGAUGAUCUGAUGCAGGUAUAGAACCCCUCCCCCACAUUCUUUUCUUGCUAGCUUGCCUCCAUUACAAACCAUCUUCCUCACUCAGAUAUUUUCAAUCCUGGUAGUUUUUGCUUGUUUGUUUGAGACAGGGUUUCACGCUGUCACCCAGGCUGGAGUGCAGUGGUGCAAUCAUAGCUCACUGCAGCCUUGACCUCCUGGGCUCAAGUGAUUCUCCUUCCUCAGCCUCCCAAAGUGCUGGGUUUACAGGCGUGAGCCACUGCACCUGACUUCCCCAGCAGUUUUGACCGUGAUCUCAUUUGCCUCUUUCUCCUGAUUAGGCCAGCAUUAGAGCAUCCAAGAGGCUGCAUAAUAUGGAAUAAACAUAGGUCAUUAGAUUUAAAUCAAAAUUCUGGCUUUUUACUUCCUAGCGAUGCAAGCUUUGUUGAGUUCCUUAACUUUUCUUAGCACUUCUGCUUUUUAAAAAAAGUUGCUAUAAUACUAAAUCGUAGGAUUUUUGAGAUAACUAAAUGAGAAAAUGUGCAUAAGACUUGCAGCACCUUAAGUGCUCAGUAAAUAGCAACUCUUUUUUUCCCGCUUCUAUUUCCCAAAAUAGUCCUGGCUGGGAAGACUCAUUGUCACAGGCUACACUAAAUAGUUUGGUAUUAUUAUUACUCAGAUUUCAUUCAAUACUUUCAUUCAUCAUUCUAAGGAACACAAUAACAUGUCAUUUUUGGCAUCUGCCUCUGGGGAAGUAAUAGCGUCAUUUUUUCAUAGAUCAUUUUCAUAACUGGCCCUUUGCCCUCACAUAAUACCACAGGGUGGGCUCAGACCGAAACUGUCAAGAUCCUCAAUGGUUUCGCACUUAGCACCAGCCUCCGUUGGUCCCUUGGAAACCGGAACAGUACCAACCAAGAAGUUUCUACUUCGCUUCUACUCAGAUGGCACUGCCGAGAAAAGGUGGGAGGGCUGCCUGCUCAAGUGUGGCCUUUAAAGACAAAGUGGAGAAGAAAAAGAGGUGAGAAUGUGGUGCAGUAGUCUGUGAACCUGAGAUAUGCAGCGGUGGGAAAUAGCGGCCCCUAAGGAGCCAUUUGUAUAAACCAGUUCACAGCUACAUGCAAUGUGCCACCUGCAAACAGAGCCUCUGAGACAUAGAAAGGGUUUUCCAAUAUUGCUUUUACCAUAGAAAGGAUUAUGGCUCAUCUUGGUUCUCGGUGAAAUUUGGUUUGAUGCUGCCUGCACAGUUCCAGAGUUUCUUGGUCUAAGCCAGGGGCCACAGGCCCCCUUACAAACAAGAUGUUUUCUUUAAGAUAUAACUGAGGCUGCUGUAAAAAUGAGAGAUAAAAACAGAACUUUGUUUUUCUUAGGUAAGAGUGUGAGCAUAAGCCUUCCAGAGCUGCCAUGUGAUUCCAUGAUGUUGGGGAUGUAGUUUCUUCCUGUCUUUUUGCUCUAGUAUGCUCCAUACACAGCUUCCAUCUUGUGAUAGCACAUGGCUGCCCCAGCUGCCACUAUCCCAUCCACACUCCAACAGGCAGGAAGAAGAACUAGAGCAAGAGAAGACAUCCUGCUUUCCAUUAAAGGCAGUCUGGAAAUUCCAAGCAUCAAUUCCACAAUCAUCUCCUUGGCCAGAACUUAGUAACUGGCCCACACCUAGCUGCAAGGGAAGCUGGAAUUGUAAUCCUAGGGGGACCAUCAUGAGUCCAUCUGGAACAUUACUAUGGAAGAACAGAAUGCAAUAUUGGGGAACAGCUAGCACUCUGCACAAAGGACUAGACAGGAAUAUAAACCAGUGAUUCUUGCCAGGUGUAAGGACAUAUGUGUAUCUUUUGUGGGCAGUGGAGCACAGAGCAAACAGGGAGAGCCCCAUUUUAAGCAGCAGCCCCUUUCACCUUAGAUGAUGUGGUCAUGCAGAAAUUCAGGCUCCAUGUUCAACUCUGCUGUUUUCAAAAGAAGCCAGGAAUCAACAUUUUAAAAAAUAAUGAAAUCUUGGCCAGGCACGGUGGCUCAUGCUGUAAUCCCAGCACUUUGGGAGGCCAAGGCAGGUGGAUCACCUGAGGUCAGGAGUUCGAGACCAGUUUGGCCAACACGGAGAAAUCCCAUCUCCACUAAAAAAAAAAAAAAAAAAA
rnacentral:lncRNA from 1 species